UAGAGAAAACCACAGUGUCCUAUACAGUGAACCCAGCCAAGCUGGAUGGAGUGCUUGCUCACUGAACUGUUUUUCCUUCUUACCUUUGAAGAGCUUGAGAAAUGGCAUUCACUGGCUAAUUUUCUGAUACUCUUUGACCUGAUUUGGGGAUGCCACAAAGCUGUGACUAAUGAUACACUUGCUCUGUUGUUGGAGUCGUUUGCUCCCCAGCUAUGAUCUGUAUAUUUAAUCAAUUCCUUGGGUGCUUGUAGGACCCACAGCAGCAGCUUCGGAGCUUCAUCACUGUUAUCAAUCCGGGAGGAAGAAGCCAGCAGGGCCAGGAGGCCCACCUUGACUAUGCCUGUAUUUUGCAAAAAUCUCCCCUGUGAUUAUAACCUGUAGUGAACAGUGGCUGCGGGUGAGAGUUAAAUGGCAGGUUCUCGGGAAUCACCAGGAGCCCCGGCCAUCUGAGCUGUAUCUAGGAACUCGCUGUGCUGCAACCGGAAGGCCCAUGGGUUACUAUGAGUUUUUUUAUUCUAUCUCUCAAUGUGGAAUCAGAGCUGAAGUACGCUUAUGGGGUAUUCUCAUUGAAAGUUCAAUCAAUUAUGAACCGGAAAAUUCAGAUGUCUGGGGUUUCUUACCAAUAUCGUGCUAUAUUCAAAGAUCAUUUACAUUAAAUUAUUCGAAAAAGGUAAAAGACGAUAAGGGCGACGCGUCCAAAAAACCAGCCAGAAAGAAGAGUUCAAGGUUACUUGAAGCAAAAAACACAGGGACCCGCCCAGAAGGGGCAGUAAGUAUUGCAGGACCAUAUCCAAUUUCUCCCUCCCGGUUAAGUAUGGAAAUUUAUCUGUGAAUGCAGGAGGGAGAGGCAGCCACAGUGACCCCGGAACUGUGGCUCCUGAGGACUGUCCUGCCUGUUGGAGAAUGGGCUAAUGCCUAUGGAUUUCAUUUUCUACCUGUUUUAAAAUUACCAUUUUAAAUUUCCUCUGCAGUCUGUAUUUAUGAACAUUUUGGUGUGUGUGGGGGCAAGAGCUUCUUCAGAGUUUAAGCUUGUAAUGAAGGAAUUUUUUAAAAUAAAGAUUUGAAAUUCUUAAUAACUUUUUUAUUCUUUGGAAA
rnacentral:lncRNA from 1 species